UUACAAUGGAAGGAAAUUAGAAAUCAGAAACAGAAGGAAAUUGCUAAUAAAUACUUCUGAUAUGAGUGGAUUUUUAUUUUUAUGACUUCCCUUUGAGGCCCACAGUUUGAUCCCAGUUUUCCAGAUAAGAAAAAUGGGAGCCUGGAGUGCUACACUAUCUCCUUCCUGGAUUCUUGCAUGCUGUAGGAGAGGAAUUGUAGGGUUUAUGCCAAAUCCUGUCAUCUACUUUCUGUUCUAUCUGAAUGCAUAAGUCACAUUUCAAACACAUAGCCUUCACUUUUGUGCCGCAUUUUCACUUUUCAGCCCAAAGAUUAUAUAUUAAGUUUGAGUGAUAAAACGGGGUUAUAUUUGUGCUCAAAGAAAACAAACUUCAAUCUACCUCUGUUGAAAUUUUCUCCCUUUUUCACUAUGGUUCAAUAGCAGAAGACUGAUGCCUAAGGAUGCAGAGAAAUAAAAGGAGCAUAUAUCAUGUAAGCUUCUAUAAGGACACAAAUCAGCAGUACUCAAGGAAUUGUGAAGUAUUUGAACCCAUCGGGAAUUCUGUUGGUGUGCUCUCAGCGUUUGCUGGACUAAAUGGUUAGUGAUGGUUCUCUCUGCCCUUUGAAAUACAAUAGACAUUCAGAAAGGGGGCUCCCUCCAGAACAAACGCCAUGUUUAGAUGUUGUAACCACUUUGUGGAGUCCAGGAUCUCAUUUCUUGAAGCAGUGCUGAUGUUCAUCCAGUGAUGGGGGCCCAUUCCUUACCAGAGGCCUCAAGAUACAGCAAGGUGCGAUAGCUUGGCACUGCUCCAGCAGUGGGAAUCUCAGAAGGGGCACCAAGAAACUGAUGCUUUACUUCUGCCAGUAUCAGUUCAGCUGUCUCUGUCCUUUACACUCCAGAGCUACCACUCAACACAGAGAUUAUGACCCUAUUGUGAUGGAAGGGAAAUUAAUGAAUUUCAGCCAAAGGUGGUUCCCUGCCUGGAUAGAGAACCCAGCUUCAUGGUUCCUUAAAGUUUCUCCUCUGAAGUUAGAAGCCUCUGGAAUAAGAACCAGUAGUGAUGGAAUCCUAAUCAGGAACCAGAUAGGGGACUUUUUCUGAGAAACUCUUCUGCCAAGGCCUGUUCCUGAGCACACUUGAUUGGUGUUCCACAGCUUACUUGGAGGUAUCUAGGCAUUCACAGUAGCAGCCAGCUUAGAGGAUGCUGGAGGAUGAGGUCCAUAAUAGGAAGCUGAGUUCAUAAUGCACGUGGUUGGGAAUAGACUCCUAGCUCUUCCUUGGAUGGCAUUGCACAAGGAGAAUGACCUAUAGGAGAGGGCCUUUUGUUCUAAAUCUGUAUUGUGCCGUGCAGCAAAUCCAGAUGGGUACAGAAGGAGUGAAGCACAUUUUUCUUCAACAUUGGUAUUCCAGGCAUGAUGUGGAGAUAUGGCCAAUGUUGGGGGCAGAGGUACAGAGAUCAGGAGGAAGAAAAGAGGAGGUGGGAAUGGACGGCAGGGAGAAGAAAAUGUUCAGACACUUCAGAAUCUGGGAAGAAGUGAAGAAAGGAUUUCAAAGUAAAGCAACGAACAGCUGGAGCCAGGGACCCUUCACUUCCUUCUUGCUCUUCCUGCGUCGCUCUUGAAUGAGGAACUCCACGUGAUGAAUGAGGAGGAUGUUCCUGGCUACUAGCAUGAAGGAGAAUAAGAAAGUGAACAAAUAUGGAAUAAAAUCCAGGGUUAAUAAAAAGCACCUUUACGAUUGAAUUCUUCCGAGAAAUUUUCAGAAGCUCUUGGGACGCUGCCACUACUGUCAUAUGAAGAAGGUCAGACUAGUUUGCUGGAUGAGGAGAGACCAGUUGCCCUGGGGCUCCUGUUGCUCCAGCUGAUUGCCAGUGUGUGGAAACAGAGAUACCUUGCAGACCAACAGCUGACUGGUGUUUCUCAGUUAAGCACAGCAGAAGACCAGCAAAAGAAAACCCAGCCCAAAUGCCAGUCCAC